UCCUAAUGUCAGUUCUCUGAUCAGAACCAGCACUAAUAGCGUUGCUGCUGCCAAGCAAGAAUUUAAGUUGCUUGGACCUAGGAGAAGACGGCUGGACAGGUUAACAUUGGAAGUGAAGAGGCCAGUGUGAUGGUGUGAGGAUGACCCUCCACAUAUGGAAAUAACUCAGCACCAAGAGGAGCAGCUGGCUCAUCAUCAUCCCUAGCACUGGGAUUUCUUUGGGUGACCAAUAGAUAUGUCCAAUCCUACUUACAAGGAGCAUGGAGUUGAUGGAGUGAGCCAGUGUUUCCAGAAGAAACUGUGCCACUCCAAAGAGAAGUUAGAAAAGGGGAAAGUGACUCCUGAAUAAAGAAGAGUCUGUUCACUUAAAGACCCUCUCCCAGGGAUUCUUGGCAGGAAGAGUUGGCUUUCCUGCUGCGCCAGUGAUUGUUGUAAUGCUAUUUGUGCUCUAUCUACACAUCUAUUGGUACAUAAGUGAAAAAAGUAGGAGAGUUUUCGUCAUUGGAAAAUUUCAAGGUCAGGCUGGAUGACUAUCAGGUAUGCUCUAGAAGAGACACCUACAUUUAAAGAAAACUUGACUAAGGUGACCUCUCAAGUUCCUUUCAUGUUUAAAUUCUGUGCUCUGAAGUUUACUCUCUAAUCUUAUGACAGUGAUGCUUCAUAUUGGAAAGACAGGAGUUUCUUAU